rnacentral:lncRNA from 1 species
AUUGAUGUAUUAUCUUUGGGUGGCAUAACGAUAUAAAAAUGUCGAAUCCCCGGAUUUUGAGUGCAACCACGUAAGUCAAACAACAUACCUAACUCUAAUGAACAAACUCACUUCAUUGGAAUAUCAUGAAACAACAAAAAAAGAAGCAAUUGAUAUCAUGAGUCGAGCAAUUAACGCAAUACACAAAAACACAUGCCAAUGGACUUAAAUCCCAAUCUAUAAUUCCAGAUAUAAUCUUAACACGAAGCAAACAUGUGGUAGCAUAUAAUAAAUAAAUCCAAAGGUGCAUGAAUGAUGUGGAGACAAAUCAAACGGCCUUUUAUAUCAAUAACCCCAUCCAAUAUACAACAAACCCAUCAUUUAGUAAAAAACACUUUCACCUAAUGGUAAAAGUAAUAAACGAACAGCCAUUCAAUCUUUUGUAAAUGAAAUUCCUAGACAAUGCCCGGCUUUCUUCACAAAUUUCACUAUACUCUUCAUCCAUAAAAAUGCAGUCAAAAUUAAAAAGCAAUGACGUUAAUCCGCAAUUUAUAACAGUCCAAGAUAUUCAAAACCUACUAAGUGUAAACUUAACAAUUAACAUCAGGACCAUUCGAAAACGAAUUAAACUCAAAGCCAUAAUAAAAAUACCCGAAAACAAAACAGCCAAAUGAAUUAUAUUACAAUCUCAGGUAAUACCGGAAAAGCUGCAUAAAAGAAGAAUUACAUGUUUGGUUUGGCUAUGAAGGUCUUUACGCAACUGCUUAUUGCUGAAACGUGGUGUCACAUGUUGUUCACGGAUACGUCAAAAGUGUCACGCGAUGGAGUGAUUCGUAAGAUGUUGAGAGGCGGUUGAGAGACAACGGCGAUGAUAGCGAGGCUGGUCGGUUGAGUAGAUCUAUGUGAUGUUGGGGUCGGUUUUGGCGAGGAGUUGUACUGUGAAGAUGAGUGAAGGGAGAAAAGGGUUGGGUUUGGGCGUACGGCGAUGAAGACGGAAGUUGGAAACAGUGGAUGGCGAUUUAUGAAGAUGGAGGUUGGUGGUAGUGAUGGAGGGUUUCGCGGAUGACCGUGCGAUGGAGGUGGGUUAAGAGGAUUCGUCGGCGAGGCGGAGGGUUGAGGGUGUUGGAGGCGGAGGUUUAUUUGAUGGUGGUGGGUCGCGAUUUGAAGGAGUUUUAAGGGGUGCGAUGGUGUUUUUGACGGUGGAUGGUGGAAAUGUGGUUACAGCGGUGGAUUGUGGCGUUGUGAUGAUUUAUGUGGUGGUGUGGUUGAAGAUGGAGACGGAAGUUAUGGAAGAUGGAGGGUUUGUGAGAGUGGUGAAUAUGGUGAGGAUUGAGUGGAACGUGAGUGAAUGAGUCAGAGAGAAAUGUGAGCAAGGGUAAUAGGUGGUAGAUGUAGUGAGGGAAGCGUGAAUACGUGUCGGUGAGAAAAAGAGAGUGAGGCGAGGGCGCGUGAGUGGGUGACACGUGAGUGGAGGGAGAAAGAAAAGUGUGAGAGGGAAGAGUGAUAGUUUGUUGAGAGGAAAAUCUAGACAGAUUUUCUCUUUUUUUUUUGUUUUCUUUGUAAGAGGGAUGAGAGAGUUUGUUUUUUUUUAUGACACGUGUCACCAAGUGUAUGGAAGAAAAGAUAUAUUUUUUGAUAUUCCCUUGUGAGUUGUCAAAGAAUUCAAUGCUGAUUAAAACAUUUAUUCGUAAACAAUUUUAUUUUAUAUUAUUAAAAAUUAGUUAUUGAAAUUUCUUAAAAAGUAAUUUAACUAAUUAAUAAUAAAACUCUAAUUUGGAUUUUAG